AUCAGAGGAGACUUCUUCACUAAAAAGAAGAGUUUAAUAUCAGACUUUUUAUUCUUUCAGUAAGAUUUUGUAUUUCACAGUCUCUACCCUUCUGUUUAAGAAUCUGAAAACAGGCAUUUUCUGGUUUACAUUGAAACACAGGAGUCUUAAAUAUCUCUUCAGCUGCUUCCUAAUGUUUGUUCCACAGGAAGGGAGUUAGUUCAUAGCAUAGUGUGCUUUGUUUUGUCCACAUCAGCAAAGCAGAUAAACUCAGCCUCUCUUCAUCUGGGAAAGGGGCAGAAUAACACCAGGAGACAGGGCAAUACUGAAGGAUUAUUGUUAAUGUUUCAGGGAACAAGACGACUUUCAGGUACCUGGAGUUGUUCCUUUGACUUGGCAUUUCCCUUUUCUGAACUUCAAGAGGUUCCUGUCAGCCUGUUCCUCCAUUUGCAAACAUUUGGUGUAGCAAUCACUCCUUCCAGUUUUGUAUCAUCUGGAAACCUGUUGAGAGUGCGCUCUGUCCCACUGUCCAGAUAUUUCCCCGCAUCUCAGGGAUCUAAAAUUACUGAAGGCUGGUCUUACCAGUAGAGGCCAAUGAGGAAAGAACAGGCAACUGCUCCUUCUCACCAUCCUGACCUGUCCUUCCCAAAGAGCCUGUAUCCAGCCUUUGCAG